rnacentral:rRNA from 1 species
UACAGAGGGUGCGAGCGUUAAUCGGAAUUACUGGGCGUAAAGCGCGCGUAGGCGGCUUUUCAAGUCGAUUGUGAAAGCCCCGGGCUUAACCUGGGAAUGGCCGUCGAAACUGGCGAACUGGAGUGUGGCAGAGGGGGGUGGAAUUCCGCGUGUAGCAGUGAAAUGCGUAGAGAUGCGGAGGAACACCGAUGGCGAAGGCAGCCCCCUGGGCUGACACUGACGCUCAGGCACGAAAGCGUGGGGAGCAAACAGG